rnacentral:rRNA from 1 species
UACGGGAGGCAGCAGUGGGGAAUAUUGGACAAUGGGUAWAGCCUGAUCCAGCCAUGCCGCGUGGKGAAGAAGGCCCUCGGGUCGUAAAGCACUUUAAGUUGGGAGGAAGGGCUUWCAGCGAAUACCUGUGAGUUUUGACGUUACCGACAGAAUAAGCACCGGCUAACUUCGUGCCACAGCCGCGGUAA